rnacentral:rRNA from 1 species
AGAGUUUGAUCAUGGCUCAGGAUGAACGCUAGCUACAGGCUUAACACAUGCAAGUCGAGGGGCAUCAGUUUGGUUUUGCUUGCAAACCAAAGCUGGCGACCGGCGCACGGGUGAGUAACACGUAUCCAACCUGCCUCAUACUCGGGGAUAGCCUUUCGAAAGAAAGAUUAAUAUCCGAUAGCAUAUAUUUCCCGCAUGGGUUUUAUAUUAAGAAAUUCGGUAUGAGAUGGGGAUGCGUUCCAUUAGUUUGUUGGCGGGGUAACGGCCCACCAAGACUACGAUGGAUAGGGGUUCUGAGAGGAAGGUCCCCCANAUUGGAACUGAGACACGGUCCAAACUCCUACGGGAGCA